rnacentral:rRNA from 1 species
GCGAAAGCGAGUCUUAAUAGGGCGAAUGAGUUGGAUGGAUCAGACCCGAAACCGAGUGAUCUAGGCAUGGCCAGGUUGAAGACAAGGUAACACUUGUUGGAGGACCGAACCCACAUCCGUUGAAAAGGAUCGGGAUGAGCUGUGCCUAGGGGUGAAAGGCCAAUCAAACUCGGAGAUAGCUGGUUCUCUGCGAAAUCUAUUUAGGUAGAGCGUCAUCCGAAUACCCCGGGGGGUAGAGCACUGGAUGGGUAAUGGGGCCCCACAGGCUUACUGAUCCUAACCAAACUCCGAAUACCCGGGAGUACUAGAUGGCAGACACACUGCGGAUGCUAACGUCCGUAGUGGAGAGGGAAACAACCCUGACCUACAGCUAAGGCCCCCAAUUCAUGGCUAAGUGGGAAAGCAGGUGGGACGACCAAAACAACCAGGAGGUUGGCUUAGAAGCAGCCAUCCUUUAAAGAUAGCGUAACAGCUCACUGGUCUAAACAAGUUGUCCUGCGGCGAAGAUGUAACGGGGCUAAAGUAAUGCACCGAAGCUUAGGGUUCAGAAUUUAUUCUGAGCGGUAGCGGAGCGUUCCGUAAGCGGAUGAAGCCGAAGGGUAACCGACGGUGGACGUAUCGGAAGUGCGAAUGCUGACAUGAGUAGCGACAAACAGUGUGAGAUGCACUGUCGCCGAAAGCCCAAGGGUUCCUGCUUAAAGCUAAUCUGAGCAGGGUAAGCCGGCCCCUAAGCCGAGGCCGAAAGGCGUAGGCGAUGGGAACCACGUUAAUAUUCGUGGGCCAGAUGGAAGUGACGGAUCUCGAAGAUUGUUCCUCCUUAUCGGAUUGGAGGGGCCGUUCAGAGGUUCCUGGAAAUAGCUCCAUCAUCAGACCGUACCCUAAACCGACACAGGUGGACUGGUAGAGAAUACCAAGGCGCUUGAGAGAACG